rnacentral:lncRNA from 1 species
UCGACCGAGGUUCGUCCGUCCAUAGAUCCCGACCAAGACGGUGAUCAGGACGUUCUUCAUGUUCCGACCGAGGUUCGUCCGUCCGAUCAUACCGAUCAGUCCGACCGAGCUGUUUACCGACUGGACCCGUGUACGUUCGGAAUGGAGCCUAGACCAAACCCACGACCUGAUGAUUGAACUGACCGUACUGCAGGAGCUAUUCCCCGUCCAACUCGACAAGCUAAAAUUGAUGGUCG